rnacentral:rRNA from 1 species
AGCGUACACGGUGGAUGCCCUGGCAGUCAGAGGCGAUGAAGGACGUGCUAAUCUGCGAUAAGCGUCGGUAAGGUGAUAUGAACCGUUAUAACCGGCGAUUUCCGAAUGGGGAAACCCAGUGUGUUUCGACACACUAUCAUUAACUGAAUCCAUAGGUUAAUGAGGCGAACCGGGGGAACUGAAACAUCUAAGUACCCCGAGGAAAAGAAAUCAACCGAGAUUCCCCCAGUAGCGGCGAGCGAACGGGGAGCAGCCCAGAGCCUGAAUCAGUGUGUGUGUUAGUGGAAGCGUCUGGAAAGGCGCGCGAUACAGGGUGACAGCCCCGUACACAAAAAUGCACAUGCUGUGAGCUCGAUGAGUAGGGCGGGACACGUGGUAUCCUGUCUGAAUAUGGGGGGACCAUCCUCCAAGGCUAAAUACUCCUGACUGACCGAUAGUGAACCAGUACCGUGAGGGAAAGGCGAAAAGAACCCCGGCGAGGGGAGUGAAAAAGAACCUGAAACCGUGUACGUACAAGCAGUGGGAGCACGCUUCGGCGUGUGACUGCGUACCUUUUGUAUAAUGGGUCAGCGACUUAUAUUCUGUAGCAAGGUUAACCGAAUAGGGGAGCCGAAGGGAAACCGAGUCUUAACUGGGCGUUAAGUUGCAGGGUAUAGACCCGAAACCCGGUGAUCUAGCCAUGGGCAGGUUGAAGGUUGGGUAACACUAACUGGAGGACCGAACCGACUAAUGUUGAAAAAUUAGCGGAUGACUUGUGGCUGGGGGUGAAAGGCCAAUCAAACCGGGAGAUAGCUGGUUCUCCCCGAAAGCUAUUUAGGUAGCGCCUCGUGAAUUCAUCUCCGGGGGUAGAGCACUGUUUCGGCAAGGGGGUCAUCCCGACUUACCAACCCGAUGCAAACUGCGAAUACCGGAGAAUGUUAUCACGGGAGACACACGGCGGGUGCUAACGUCCGUCGUGAAGAGGGAAACAACCCAGACCGCCAGCUAAGGUCCCAAAGUCAUGGUUAAGUGGGAAACGAUGUGGGAAGGCCCAGACAGCCAGGAUGUUGGCUUAGAAGCAGCCAUCAUUUAAAGAAAGCGUAAUAGCUCACUGGUCGAGUCGGCCUGCGCGGAAGAUGUAACGGGGCUAAACCAUGCACCGAAGCUGCGGCAGCGACGCUGAUGCGUUGUUGGGUAGGGGAGCGUUCUGUAAGCCUGCGAAGGUGUGCUGUGAGGCAUGCUGGAGGUAUCAGAAGUGCGAAUGCUGACAUAAGUAACGAUAAAGCGGGUGAAAAGCCCGCUCGCCGGAAGACCAAGGGUUCCUGUCCAACGUUAAUCGGGGCAGGGUGAGUCGACCCCUAAGGCGAGGCCGAAAGGCGUAGUCGAUGGGAAACAGGUUAAUAUUCCUGUACUUGGUGUUACUGCGAAGGGGGGACGGAGAAGGCUAUGUUGGCCGGGCGACGGUUGUCCCGGUUUAAGCGUGUAGGCUGGUUUUCCAGGCAAAUCCGGAAAAUCAAGGCUGAGGCGUGAUGACGAGGCACUACGGUGCUGAAGCAACAAAUGCCCUGCUUCCAGGAAAAGCCUCUAAGCAUCAGGUAACAUCAAAUCGUACCCCAAACCGACACAGGUGGUCAGGUAGAGAAUACCAAGGCGCUUGAGAGAACUCGGGUGAAGGAACUAGGCAAAAUGGUGCCGUAACUUCGGGAGAAGGCACGCUGAUAUGUAGGUGAGGUCCCUCGCGGAUGGAGCUGAAAUCAGUCGAAGAUACCAGCUGGCUGCAACUGUUUAUUAAAAACACAGCACUGUGCAAACACGAAAGUGGACGUAUACGGUGUGACGCCUGCCCGGUGCCGGAAGGUUAAUUGAUGGGGUCAGCGCAAGCGAAGCUCUUGAUCGAAGCCCCGGUAAACGGCGGCCGUAACUAUAACGGUCCUAAGGUAGCGAAAUUCCUUGUCGGGUAAGUUCCGACCUGCACGAAUGGCGUAAUGAUGGCCAGGCUGUCUCCACCCGAGACUCAGUGAAAUUGAACUCGCUGUGAAGAUGCAGUGUACCCGCGGCAAGACGGAAAGACCCCGUGAACCUUUACUAUAGCUUGACACUGAACAUUGAGCCUUGAUGUGUAGGAUAGGUGGGAGGCUUUGAAGUGUGGACGCCAGUCUGCAUGGAGCCGACCUUGAAAUACCACCCUUUAAUGUUUGAUGUUCUAACGUUGACCCGUAAUCCGGGUUGCGGACAGUGUCUGGUGGGUAGUUUGACUGGGGCGGUCUCCUCCUAAAGAGUAACGGAGGAGCACGAAGGUUGGCUAAUCCUGGUCGGACAUCAGGAGGUUAGUGCAAUGGCAUAAGCCAGCUUGACUGCGAGCGUGACGGCGCGAGCAGGUGCGAAAGCAGGUCAUAGUGAUCCGGUGGUUCUGAAUGGAAGGGCCAUCGCUCAACGGAUAAAAGGUACUCCGGGGAUAACAGGCUGAUACCGCCCAAGAGUUCAUAUCGACGGCGGUGUUUGGCACCUCGAUGUCGGCUCAUCACAUCCUGGGGCUGAAGUAGGUCCCAAGGGUAUGGCUGUUCGCCAUUUAAAGUGGUACGCGAGCUGGGUUUAGAACGUCGUGAGACAGUUCGGUCCCUAUCUGCCGUGGGCGCUGGAGAACUGAGGGGGGCUGCUCCUAGUACGAGAGGACCGGAGUGGACGCAUCACUGGUGUUCGGGUUGUCAUGCCAAUGGCACUGCCCGGUAGCUAAAUGCGGAAGAGAUAAGUGCUGAAAGCAUCUAAGCACGAAACUUGCCCCGAGAUGAGUUCU